rnacentral:lncRNA from 12 species
CUUGCAAUUUAGAAGCUCCAAGGAUAUCUUGGAUUGUCAGUAACCUUGAGAAUGGAAGCCACAUGCUAGGAAGCCAUGGUAAAAAAGAUAAAUCGAGGUCCCUAAUGACACUGUGGAGCUGUUAAAGACGCUGUUAUUAAAUCUCACGUGAGACAGGUCUUUAUGGAUACAUAAGCAUAACUCUGCGAGAUGAAGUAAUUGGUUUUCUUCUUCUUAUUAUGAAGGGCCAGGCAGGAAUUCCAGACACCCAGGGCUAUCUGAUGCCAAACCGGUGCCCUUAGCUGCUACCCUAUGUAGCUGUGAGCCAAGAAUACUCAUGGGCAACCUUUGGGAAACCAGCUGUAUAGGUGGCAGACACUGAGGAUGUCCACCUCUGUCCCCCAGCACUCCACGCGCUGACUGACGCACUGACGAUGCAGGAUCCUUUGAUUCAGCUUAGUUGGCAGCUGCUCUUCCCCCAAAUACUUGAAGAACUUCCAAUGCGGCAUCUGGGUUGAGGCCAGGACUGGGGGCUGGGAGGCGGCCCCCCAGCUCCCUGCUGUGCCAGACCAGGCCCGCGGCCCACAGGCGGCCUCCCCGUGGGACCGGCGGCCCAGGCGACGCGCAGGGUGGCCCUGGAGGCCUUUCCUGCCGACAGCAACCGCAGCCCUUCUAGGCUUCUCUGCCGGGGGACAGGGGGCCAAAUAGGACUUCAGCUGGAAUCCAUGGUGCAGAGUUGGGGCUUUCUCAUGGGGACACUGAAACACCCUUUUCAUAAAAUGGGACUCUUGCUGCCCACCUCCCUUUCAGGUGAGUUUGCUUCCAUUUUGUGAUAAGUCAAGUCAGGUAAUAGAUAAUCCAUUUCUCCAGUGCCUAAAGCUCAUGUGCUCCCUGAACACAAAGCUUGCAUUCAGCCCCUGUGUCUCCUUUCAGUAGGCUCAGCUUCUCUUAAUUGAAGCCAACUGAACUUUGUGAAAAUGCACUUAGGGCUACUCACAUUUAAAUUUCCAACUUUUUUUUCUCCUUGGUAUUUUGUUUCUAUUUUUUAUGCUCAUUUUUCUUUUUGUAUUUUUUGUAGCUUUGUAAGCCAUCUGCCAUCCUUUCUGGAAUGAGAUGGCAUAUAAAUACCUACAUAGAGUGCACACAUAAAAUGUAUACUGAUAUUUGAGAAAGACAUCUCAAAUACAAAUGCAUCCUUCUAGGUCGUUGGUAUUCAAGACAGUGAGGGGGACAGGAGGGAAAAGAGAGCUGUAUUUUCCAAAAUAUAUGUGCUAGUAUUCUUUCUGAUUCUUCUUUACCCCUACCUACUCUCAGGGACCCAGGUAAUAUUAGAAUCUUGGUGGA